rnacentral:rRNA from 1 species
GACGAACGCUGGCGGCGUGCCUAACACAUGCAAGUCGAACGGAGCAGAUCCCUUCGGGGGUUUGCUUAGUGGCGAACGGGUGAGUAACGCGUGAGGAACCUGCCUUUCAGUGGGGGGACAACAGUUGGAAACGACUGCUAAUACCGCAUAAUGCUUUUUGAGCGGCAUCGCUUGAAAGCCAAAGAUUUAUCGCUGAAAGAUGGUCUCGCGUCUGAUUAGCUAGUUGGUGAGAUAACAGCCCACCAAGCCGACGAUCGGUAGCCGGACUGAGAGGUUGAUCGGCCACAUUGGGACUGAGACACGGCCCAG